GACUUGGUAGCCUAGUUGAUAAAGGAAGCUCUUCUAGUGUAGUGUCUUAGCUUCUGGCUAAGUUUUCUGGUUCAAAUUCUGCCCAAGUUG